rnacentral:rRNA from 1 species
AGUGAACGCUGGCGGUAGGCCUAACACAUGCAAGUCGAACGGCAGCACAGUAAGAGCUUGCUCUUACGGGUGGCGAGUGGCGGACGGGUGAGGAAUACAUCGGAAUCUACUUUUUCGUGGGGGAUAACGUAGGGAAACUUACGCUAAUACCGCAUACGACCUACGGGUGAAAGCAGGGGAUCUUCGGACCUUGCGCGAUUGAAUGAGCCGAUGUCGGAUUAGCUAGUUGGCGGGGUAAAGGCCCACCAAGGCAACGAUCCGUAGCCGGUCGGAGAGGAUGACCGGCAACCUUGGAACUGAGCAACGGCCCAGACUCCUACGGGAGGCAGCAUUGGGGAAUAUUGGGCAAUGGGCGAAAGCUUGACCGAGCAAACCCGCGUGGUUGAGGAAGGCCUCCGGUUCGUAAAGCCUUUUUGUUGGGAAAGAAAAGCAGCAGGUUAAUACCCCGCUGUUCUGACGGUACCCAAAGAAUAAGCACCGGCUAACUUCGUG